rnacentral:RNase_P_RNA from 1 species
GUGGAUAGCCAGGCGGUCGCUCCGAUACACAAUCGGAGAGGAAAGUCCGAACACCCUGGUUGUCAAUUGACAAUCUGUCGCGGUAGUGGGUAACGCCCACCCGGGCCGCAGCGAUGCGGCUUGAGGACCAGUUCCACAGAGACUAUACUAACCCCGAAGGGGUUAUCCCGAGCGACGCCCGCAAGGGCGGAGUCGAGGGAUCUCCCAUUCAGGGCAAAACGUGAAAAGUGUGGCGAGGUCAUUGGCUACAAGUGGGAAUUCCCGGUAGCUGACGGCUACGCUACUCCGCGCCCAGCGAUGGGACGCGCGUGGUAAACUCUACCUGGUGCAAUGCCAAGUUUGGUCGGCAGCUUGAGGCCGCCAGUAAUGACGGUCCCAGAGAGAUGAUCGCCACCCGCCUUCGGCGGGGACAGAAUUCGGCUUACCGGCUAUCCGCAGCA